UGACUGCAUUCUUUUUGCAAGGGGGGUGGAGGGAGAGCGGGGAAGGAGGGGGUGUCAGCUCAACUGUAAAAGCUGCACAGAUUUUUUUUCUUUCUCUCUCUCUGCCUCUCCAUAGAUUGUUUCUGUUUCAUGCCCUGUCUCAUUUCGCAUAGCUAAAAAAGAAUGCUAAUUAAGAUCCCUUGUCUUAACCUGAAAAAUAAUGACUCGGCUGUAAUUAGAAAUCUGGUGAGAGUUUAAAAAUUCUGGUAGGGGACCAAAAACAUCAGUUACGGUGCUUAGGAAGAAAAUGAAGAAUUAUUUUUCUGAAAUCAAGGUAAACAUGGGAGAGGGGGGUUCCCCCCAUCUUUUUAACCAAUUUUAACCAAUGGUGUUCUACUGCAGAUGAGAAGAUACUGUAUUUCAAAAACUAUUUUAACCAUCAAAUUGAAGGAACACAAAUCAGUAGCAAUAGAAGCCUUCUUAAUCCUCCUUAGGAUGCAAUUCAGAUGAAAGAACUGCUUUUUCUAUUUUUCUUUUUGUGUGUGUGUGUUAUAGAUGGAUCUGAGAACGCUGUCUGGGCUUGGUACCAAGAGCUGGUAUUUCACAGCAGCGACCGCCUCACAGACGAGCUGUGGGAAGCAGGAGGGAGACUCUCUCUUAGGGUGCCACUACUAUGGAGACACAGCUGGGCUGAACAAGAUUUGCUUCAAACGACAACAAGAGAGACAGAAAGUAUCUGGUUCAACCGCUGCCCGAGCAGGCAGGCACCAGAAGAGCUAGCAGCCAAUCCGGCCAUGCUCGAAGCCAGCUCUGCAGCUCAGCCAAUCAGUGACAUCAUUGGCAAUCACGAUCGUCUUCCUUAAGGAAUAACAUCUGCACAACCUCCAGAGCCAAAAAUCUGCAACCUCCCGCACAGUAUGAAUUAUGAUUUCUUGGAAUUGGGAACACUUGACAAACUGAAGUAGAAAAAUGGAAGGUUUAAAGGAAUGGAUCAACAUUUUAUUGAGUGUGCCAUGUGGCGACAGCGCAAACUCCCAUUCCUUUGAAAUGAUGGAGAAUGGUGAGGAAAGGGGGCCAAAAAUAUACCUACAUGUGUUCAUUUGAUUUUUAGACACAGCCGAAAUGUAAUGUGUUUUAUGAAGACGUGGCUGCCUCUGUGUUUUUCUGUGGACAUCCUAGCAAGGUCCUGUAAAGGGCGUAGCAACGUGGAGAAAUAAAUGGGGGGCGAAGGUGGUCGUGAAAGCAGAGAAAUUGUCUCCCCUCGAGAAGGAAGCAAUGUAAUGUAGCAGGAACCAUUUUGACCCCGGAGUUAAAAAUUAUAGUGUACCUCCGACUCUUUCUCUUGUUAUCACCUUGAUCAGAUCACUUAAUUUCUUUCCAUUUUCUCCUGCAUUCAAAAAUUCAAGACAAUGCCAGCAUAGAGAUUUUCUCUUUGUGUGAAAUGCCUUCCCAUUUUUUAAGAGUCUAGAUCCUUUUUUGCUUCAAGGACCAAGUUAAAUGUCUCCUCUUCUGUGAAAUCUCUCCAAAUCAUCACGACCAGAAUCUCUCACUUCUCCACCCCUUUUCAUCUCCUUUAUUGCCUGUGUGCCAGUCAGUAUUGCUGUAGGGCCACAUGUGUGUACGUCUUUGCCACUAGACUGAAAGCCC
ensembl:lncRNA MIR99AHG mir-99a-let-7c cluster host gene